UUAAAUGGCUAGAGGUGGUGAGAUGGUUGGUACGUCCACCUGUGUGUCUUCCUUCCCGCGAAUACAUGAAUGGCCAGGCCCAUCAUAUCGCUUCGCACCCACGAUUACCCCGCCCACAACUGUCAGACACGUUCUCUGUUCAGUUCACCGCCCCAAGCCCGAUCUCCCUCUCGAGCACCCGUCCCUAUGGCCGCCGACACACCACCUCCCCUUGCGCUGUGGUAAGGGCAUCUCCAGCGGCGCGACGCAAACGGUCGCUGAGCGACCGUUUUCGUCCGCCGUGACCGGAAAUGCGUCUGGGGCCUGUUCCAGCGGGGCGACGCAAAGUGACCGGGCCGUCCGCGGAGACGUAAACCUGGCCCAAAUAUGUGCCAGGUUUGCGUCGCGGCGGACGCUCGGCGGUCGCUCCGAGUGUCCGCCGAAAAAGACGUAGGACCCGCGCGUCAGUGGCUGGAGGGCGAUAUUAUUCCCGCCACUGGCCAUUCCCCCGCGCUAAAUUGGAAACUAGACCGGCGCGAGCAGCCCAGAAGCGAUGGACGUCCUCACCGCCGCAGCUACCGCCAUGGAUGCGGAGCAAACCCUCGCACCCGCCGCCGCCCCACACUCCCCCGUAGGCCAUAGCCACAAUGGACACUGCAGCUCCGGCGGAAGCAAAGCGGGCCGCCGAUGGUGGCGGCCGGGAGGCAAAGCCGAAGGCGGCAAAGAAGGUGCUCUCCGCGGAGGAGAAAGUCCUGGAGGCCGCGAAGCGUCGCGGGCGGCGCAAGAACCAGAAGAUCAAGACUGCCGCGGCCGCCAACCAGCAGACCUGGCAGAUGCAGAUCAAAGCCGGCGUCGCGCAAGUAGCCCUCCAUCCGACCUUAGCGGAGGGCUACAUGAUCGUCAAGAGAGAGGGGAUCGCCGGCGUCGCUCCUCCGGCCUCUUCGGUCAGCUCGGUAAGUUCCCAGCUGCGCCCUGGAACUCCCGCUCCCUUGCAGGGCCACGCGGCGUCGCGGUUCGCCUCCGGCCUGCCGCCGGUGAAGUUGACCGGGGCGGCGGUUCCCGACCUCAACCGGACGCCUAGAAGCGGUGACUCCUGCCCGGGCGCGACACAGAAGACGCGCCAGGUGCCGGAGGAGAGCAUGCCGCAGCCCCGCAUCCUGUUCGACGAAAUGGCGCCGCCUGCCCCGACGAUGGACGACCCGGUACGUGAGCUCUGUCAAUGUGUGCGAGUGCCCUGUAUCAUGCGUCUGAUGUCCGGUCGUUCGUAGGACUAUUGGAAGGACCGCCAUGAUUCAGACAUCCAGGAAAUUAUCCACGACGGCGGCUUCGUUCGCAAUGAUCGGGCCUGGACAGGCGCGCAUGAUGCGGGGGACAUCGAGACCGCACGGCUGUUCGGCACCCAACAAACGCAAGAUGCGGAGGACAUCGAGACCGCACGGCUGUUCGGCACCCAGCAGACGCAGCCAACACCCGUGUGCGUGGACGACUUCGAUGACGCGCCAACACAGCCUAUCCCCACGGACAUUGCCACCAAAAAGAAGGAGGAGAGCCGCAGGACACAAGGCUUCGUCGACGACGAGGACAAGUGUUUGUGUGAAGCGUGGCUGGCAACGACCCAAGAUUGUAUCAAUGGCGCCCAGCAAAAGGGCAAGGUCUAUUGGGCCAAGGUCUUGCAGCAGUACAACGAGACCAGGAUGCACCCGCCCUACCAUAUCACAGGCCCUCGGACGGAAGAGUCCCUCCGGAAAAGAUGGAACUACAUCAAACAAGAGACUGCCAAGUUCUGCUCGGCGGUCGAACAUGCUAUUAACAACCCCGUAAGAGGCACUGGUGUCAUGACAGUGGUAAACACGAUACGACCAUCAUCAUUCUACACAAUUUGCGUCAUUGCAUCAAUUUGCGUCAUUGUACAUCAUUGGCGGCUAUGAUUGCAGGUAUCCCGCGCCUUGCAGAAGUUCAGGGCGACGCACAAGAAGGGCUUCCAUAUGGUCCAUUGUUGGGAGCUGCUCAAAGACAACAACAAGUGGAUGAUAAGCUUUGCGGCCUACAACGAAGCUGUGAGGAAUGGGACAGUGGUCAACCUCGACGAAGAAGACGACGAUCAAGGUCGUCCAGUCCUUCCACCUCGUCCACGAGGCCACAAGGCUACCAAGGCCGAUCUCGUCCGGGAGGCGCAGGCCAUUGCUUUCACGCAGAGCAUGGAGAAGAUAAUGGCCGACAACCAUGCCGCCAUGGCUGCUAGGGACGAGAAGAGGCGUCUGGAAAAAGAGGCCGCAGCUGCCAUCUACCAGAACCUCGCCAAGGAGGUCCUCGAUGUCCAAAGGCUGGACAUCGAGGCCAAAAAGGCAGACGCCGAGGCCAAAUUGCGUGCAGAAGACACAAGGAUCAUGCUUGCCGACUUGAGCGGCGUCGACGACGACACCAGGGCAUGGUUCAUGAAGAGCCGCGCCGAAAUCCGCGCGCGAGACGCCUGAUCGCCGGCGCCGGCGCCAUGCGCCCAGCACCUUGGCCUCCUUUUGAACUUUUUUUUAUUGCUGUUCAGGCCUUGUUGUGCCCCUUUUGCUCCACUUUGCGCCGUACGAGCUGCAAAGUGUGAUGAACUUGUUUCAGCCUUCAAUUUGCGGCUGUAAUUUCGUGCAAAGUCGACGCUAUUUCAUCGUUUUUUGAAUUCUGGCUGCGCCCAAAAUGCGUCGCCCCGCUGGAGCCAACCCCAUACGCAAACGGACACACGAUCAUUUCCCCGUCCGCCAGGCGACGCAAACGGACGCCCGCGGACAAUUUGGACGUCCGAAAUGCGUCGCGCCUCCGGAGAUGCCCUAAGCCCGCCUCCGACCGGCUGCAAAUCCCAGCGCUCCGCCAUGCCUUCCACGCGCAUGCCCCCUGCUCCACAUCCGUCUGACUUCCUCUCCAGAGACGGCCCUCUGUUGCUUACCCACCCCGUGCUCCCUAUUCACAAUCAAAGACUAGCUCGCUGUGCUCUGCCCCAUGUCCGGCGCAAAGCGGCAUCGACCUCGCCUUGUACAUGACGGGCGGGCCUCCCUCUGUAUCCUCACAGGGACGCUGCUCAUCCAAACAUUAGAGAGUCUGGCUUCUGCUGGGUUGCAAAUCCUGCCGACCUUGGGGAAUCGCUGACAAAAACAAGCCGUGAUGAUGCGCUCUCAUCAAAUUAACGUUGCUCUGCCUCUGCGGACAAGAUGAUAUUGAAGCAGUAGUGCAUCACCGAUUAUGCGCUUGAGGAAAGUCUGGUUUGAGACAUGAUAAAUUCAGAGAAACUAGGCAUCAGUUUCGGGAGUGAUCCACUACCAUGGAGGAAAGGUGAUGUAUUAGGCAUGUGUUCUAUAUUCUAUAUCUGGCCUUCGAGUCCAUUGGCACCAACGCUGCCGAGCGGUGGACACCCGCGUUUCACUUCUGCAUCGACGCUACGCUCUGCUCCACGCUUCACUUGCCGCAGGGGAGCUCCGCGAGGUCCAGAAUGAAUAUUGCUCCUAUGAUGCAACAGCGAGAGGCAUGGACGUCCGUCCAAAUGGACUCCUUCCUUAACAUGGUGCGCAAGUGCAAAGAGACGGAGAACUCCAAUUGUCCAUAAGGGUCUUGAGGGCAGCAGAAAGAAACUUGAGCGCGCAGAAGAGAGAUACUUGAGCGCGCAGAAGAGGAAGAUGAGUCACACGCCGAUGCUACAUCGACGAGUAAGGUGGCAGUGGCUACAUCUACAAGUCAACAACCAUCGCCACCAAAUGCCUUCUGUGACACUGCACCAACUCGCCUAUGCAUAGACCAGACCCACUUUGACUCUUCGCCCAUUUUAUUUUCACCAUCUUCUCUAUCGCUGGUAUUUUCCCCUGCCAGAUGUAUUUGCACGCUUAAGCAGACCGGGUUUUUUGUUGAAGGUUCCCUUGUUGAUUAAAUGGACCUGGAAAAUAUGGCUCUUAUUAUUCUUUGAACUAUCGCUUCUGUUAUCCAAGCAACUCCAUGGUUGUUGGUGUUGCUCUCUUUUCUAGCCAGGUUCACCCUUAAGAAGACUCCACGGUGGACAUACACUUUGAAGCAUAUUACAGAAUCGGAGCUAAUAUAAUCACGCACCACUAUCAUGACUAAAAUCUCUCCUUGAUUACAAAUGUUUAUCUUCAGUACUAACCUUUUUUGUGACGUUUUCAGGGACUAUGAAAAGAUCCUCAUGACCUCACACUCAACAACUAUUGAGAACAAGUUGAAGGCAUAAUAAGUAUUGUAGAAAGCUAGGAGGAGUCACCCCGCUCCCAUCUGCAACCAGAAUCUGCCAAUAAAUGUGUAUUUCUAGGAUUUUUUUGCGUUUGGAAGUUGUCUGUUAUUUUUUGCUUUCAGAGUGUGUAAACGGUUUGAAAACUUGCAAUAGUUGCUACGAUUUUUUGGUCACAUGUC